rnacentral:lncRNA from 1 species
CGUUGCUAAGAGAUUCGGGAGAGUUUCACGGCCAAUCCUUGUAGAUAGACAUGCUAGAGAUUCUUCUACAAUGCCCCCACAAGGUGAGACAUGUGUAGAGCCUCCUCCACCUCCUUCCUCUUCAGUUCAACUUGCAAAAUAUGCGGGGAGACCGGUAACCACUGGGAGAAGGAUCCACUCCGAAUUUUUGGAUCAAGAAGGGUUCCGUUUGGGGGAUUGGAUCCGAAGGCAAGGAUGGGA